rnacentral:rRNA from 1 species
UACAGAGGUCUCAAGCGUUUGUUCGGAUUCAUUGGGCGUAAAGGGUGCGUAGGCGGCGCGGUAAGUCGGGUGUGAAAUCUUGGAGCUUAACUCCGAAACUGCAUUCGAUACUGCCGUGCUUGAGGACUGGAGAGGAGACUGGAAUUUACGGUGUAGCGGUGAAAUUCGUAGAUAUUCGGAAGAACACCAGUGGCGAAGGCGGCUCACUGGCCCGGUACUGACGCUGAGGUGCGAAAGCGUGGGGAGCAAACAGGG